rnacentral:rRNA from 1 species
UAGGGAAUUUUGGGCAAUGGGCGAAAGCCUGACCCAGCAACGCCGCGUGUGGGAUGAAGGCCCUCGGGUCGUAAACCACUGUCAGGAGGAAAGAAAAGUCGGCCGGAUAAUACUCGGUCGACCUGACUGUACCUCCAAAGGAAGCACCGGCUAACUCCGUGCCAGCAGCCGCGGUAAUACGGAGGGUGCAAGCGUUGUUCGGAAUUACUGGGCGUAAAGCGCGUGUAGGUGGUCGAGUAAGUCGAAUGUGAAAGCCCCGGGCUCAACCCGGGAAGUGCAUCCGAAACUGCUCGACUAGAGUCCCGGAGAGGAAGGCAGAAUUCCCAAUGUAGGGGUGAAAUCCGUAGAUAUUGGGAGGAAUACCGGUGGCGAAGGCGGCCUUCUGGACGGUGACUGACACUCAGACGCGAAAGCGUGGGGAGCAAACAGGAUUAGAUACCCAGGUAGUCCCUGAGCGGGCUGGCAAGGCGCAU